rnacentral:rRNA from 1 species
GACGGAGGGUGCUAGCGUUGUUCGGAAUGACUGGGCGUAAAGGGCGCGUAGGCGGCGCGAUAAGUUGGGCGUGAAAGGCCCGGGCUCAACCCGGGGACUGCGCUUGAUACUGUCGCGCUGUGAGUCCGGGAGAGGAUGGCGGAAUUCCCAGUGUAGAGGUGAAAUUCGUAGAUAUUGGGAAGAACACCGGUGGCGAAGGCGGCCAUCUGGACCGGCACUGACGCUGAGGCGCGAAAGCGUGGGGAGCAAACAGG